GAUGAAGAACGCAGCGAAAUGAGAUACGUAAUGUGAAUUGCAAAUUCAGUGAAUCAUCGAGUCUUUGAACGCACAUUGCGCCCCCUGGUAUUCCGGGGGGCAUGCCUGUCCGAGCGUCAUUGCUGCCCUCAAGCACGGCUUGUGUGUUGGGCCCCGUCCUCCGAUCCCGGGGGACGGGCCCGAAAGGCAGCGGCGGCACCGCGUCCGGUCCUCGAGCGUAUGGGGCUUUGUCACCCGCUCUGUAGGCCCGGCCGGCGCUUGCCGAUCAACCCAAAUUUUUAUCCAGGUUGACCUCGGAUCAGGCAGGGAUACCCGCUGAACUUAAGCAUAUCAAUAAGCGGAGGA
rnacentral:misc_RNA from 1 species